rnacentral:rRNA from 1 species
UACAGGAGUCGUCAAGCUGUUGUUCGGAUUCAUUGGGCGUAAAGGGUGCGUAGGUGGCGCGUUAAGUCAGGUGUGAAUUUCGGAGCUUAACUCCGAAACUGCAUUUGAUACUGGCGUGCUUGAGGACUGGAGAGGAGACUGGAAUUCAUGGUGUAGCAGUAGAAAUGCGUAGAGAUCAUGAGGAAGACCAGUGGCGAAGGCGGGUC